rnacentral:rRNA from 1 species
CGAUCGCACGGUCUCGCACCGGCGACGCAUCUUUCAAGUGUCUGCCUUAUCAACUUUCGAUGGUAGUUUAUGUGCCUACCAUGGUUGUAACGGGUAACGGAGAAUAAGGGUUCGACUCCGGAGAGGGAGCCUGAGAAACGGCUACCACAUCCAAGGAAGGCAGCAGGCGCGCAAAUUACCCACUCUCGGCACGAGGAGGUAGUGACGAAAAAAUAACGAGACGGAUCUCUUUGAGGCCCGUUAUCGGAAUGAGAACAAUUCAAAUCCUUUAACGAGGAUCUAGCGGAGGGCAAGUCUGGUGCCAGCAGCCGCGGUAAUUCCAGCUCCGCAGGUGUAUAUCUAUGCUGCUGCGGUUAAAAAGCUCGUAGUUGGAUCUGCGUGCUCGGAACCGGUUGGCUCACUGAGUUCAAACUGGUCUCCGGCGCUUUAUCGGCUGGUUUUCCCUUGAUGCUCUUAACCGGGUGUCUUGGGUGGCUAGCACGUUU